GUGGCGCACGGGUGAGUAAUACUUGGGAACAUGCCCUUCAGUCUGGAAUAACAGCGGGAAACUGCUGCUAAAACCGGAUAUUCCCUCCGGGGGAAAGUUUACGCUGAAGGAUUGGCCCAAGCCAGAUUAGGUAGUUGGUGGGGUAAUGACCUACCAAGCCUACGAUCUGUAGCUGUUCUGAGAGGAAGACCAGCCACACUGGAACUGAGACACGGUCCAGACUCC
rnacentral:rRNA from 1 species